UACAUGGGGUGCAAACGUUGCUCGGAAUUAUUGGGCGUAAAGCGCGCGUAGGCGGUUACUCAAGUCGGAUGUGAAAGCCCUCGGCUUAACUGAGGAAGUGCACCCGAAACUGAGUAGCUAGAGUACUAAAGAGGGUCGCGGAAUUCCCGGUGUAGAGGUGAAAUUCGUAGAUAUUCGGAAGAACACCAGUGGCGAAGGCGACUCACUGGACAACUGUUGACGCUGAGGUGCGAAAGUGCGGGGAGCGAACAGG
rnacentral:rRNA from 1 species